GACAGUUAGCAGGUUGGAGCCAUAGUGAGUCAGUUAGCAGGUCGGAGCCACAGGUAGACGGUUAGCAGGUUGGAGUCAGAGGGAGACAGUUAGCAGGUCAGAGCCACAGGGAGCCAGUUAGCAGGUCAGAGCCACAGGGAGACAGUUAGCAGGUCAGAGCCACAGGGAGACAAUUAGCAGGUCAGAGCCACAGGGAGUCAGUUAGCAGGUCGGAGUCACAGGGAGACAGUUAGCAGGUCGGAGUCACAGGGAGACAGUUAGCAGGUCAGAGCAAUAGUUAGUCAGUUAGCUGGUCGGAGCCACAGGGAGCCAGUUAGCAGGUCAGAGCCAUAGUGAGUCAGUUAGCAGGUCGGAGACACAGGGAGCCAAUUAGCAGGUCAGAGCCAUAGUGAGUCAGUUAGCAGGUCGGAGCCAC
ensembl:lncRNA